GAUUCUUCAUUUUACAUUAAAGUUAAAUAGAAUAAAGUCUUCGGUGUGCAGCUUUAAGGCUUCCAGAGGAUUUUGGAUUUGCUCCUGUUUGGCCACAAGGCAGAUGUCGGCUGAUAAGGUCUGGCUCGCAGUCCAUGUUCCAGCUCGUCCAGACGAUGUGGGAUGAGGGUUGAGGUCAGGAGUCUGUGCCGAUCGGUUGAAUUCUGUGCACGGGCAUUGUUGUCGGAGGAGGAACUGGUCUUCCUCCUCAACAUGUCGCCACUGAGUUGGACAAAACUGAAAUCCGCCCGGACCAUGAACAACAGCCGCAGACCAAACGGACAGCAGACGGCGUCCACGUUGUUUCGGCCACAUUGUGAAUCUCCAGGGGAAAAAACACCAAGCGGUCGUCGCAGCUGCUUCGUCUUCGCUUCAUCUCCGCGUCUCUCAGACCAAACGGCAGCGAAGCAGCAGACUCCACUUCCUGCUGCGGAGGUUUUCUCUCAGGGUGGCGGGUUUCUGAAGCAGCUCGCGCCUCCCGCCGAGCUCUCUGAUGCACCAUCAGGACCCACAACACAGAUACCAGGAGAGCAGUUAUCAGUUCCUCACAUUCCCACAGUCCACGAUCCGUCAACAUGGAGCGAGCUGGGAAAAAAACGAGCAAACAAUCUCUGAGGAGCCACAACUUCUUCUGUACAGCCUCGCGAAUUACCUCCAGAUUACAGAGGAGCAGCUGUUCGCCCACUUCCCCCCGGACGGCGAGUCUGUGUGAUUAUGCGCCGAGCGACGACCGAGACAAACAUCCAGCGCUCGCUCCUCCUCCUCCAUGUCCACAAACUGUCACUCAGUUACAUGAAAAACAACCCAGACACGAUAAUUACAGCGACAAAGGAAUAUUUAUUAAAUCAAUUUUUUGUUUUUGUUAGUCAAAGCUGCUCCAACACGUGUAUGUACAAAGAAAACAAAAUGGCCUUGUUGUAGAAAAG